AUUGAACGCUGGCGGCAUGCCUUACACAUGCAAGUCGAACGGCAGCACGGGUGCUUGCACCUGGUGGCGAGUGGCGAACGGGUGAGUAAUACAUCGGAACAUGUCCUGUAGUGGGGGAUAGCCCGGCGAAAGCCGGAUUAAUACCGCAUACGAUCUACGGAUGAAAGCGGGGGACCUUCGGGCCUCGCGCUAUAGGGUUGGCCGAUGGCUGAUUAGCUAGUUGGUGGGGUAAAGGCCUACCAAGGCGACGAUCAGUAGCUGGUCUGAGAGGGCGACCAGCCACACUGGGACUGAGACACGGCCCAGACUCCUACGGGAGGCAGCAGUGGGGAAUUUUGGACAAUGGGCGAAAGCCUGAUCCAGCAAUGCCGCGUGUGUGAAGAAGGCCUUCGGGUUGUAAAGCACUUUUGUCCGGAAAGAAAUCCUUGGCUCUAAUACAGUCGGGGGAUGACGGUACCGGAAGAAUAAGCACCGGCUAACUACGUG
rnacentral:rRNA from 1 species